rnacentral:rRNA from 1 species
CCUACGGGGGGCAGCAGUGGGGAAUAUUGGACAAUGGGGGCAACCCUGAUCCAGCCAUGCCGCGUGUGUGAAGAAGGCCCUCGGGUUGUAAAGCACUUUCAGUGAGGAAGAACGCCUGGUGGUUAAUACCCAUCAGGAAAGACAUCACUCACAGAAGAAGCACCGGCUAACUCCGUGCCAGCAGCCGCGGUAAUACGGAGGGUGCGAGCGUUAAUCGGAAUUACUGGGCGUAAAGCGCGCGUAGGUGGCUUGAUAAGCCGGUUGUGAAAGCCCCGGGCUCAACCUGGGAACGGCAUCCGGAACUGUCAAGCUAGAGUGCAGGAGAGGAAGGUAGAAUUCCCGGUGUAGCGGUGAAAUGCGUAGAGAUCGGGAGGAAUACCAGUGGCGAAGGCGGCCUUCUGGACUGACACUGACACUGAGGUGCGAAAGCGCGGGUAGCAAACAGGAUUAGAUACCCCAGUAGUC